rnacentral:rRNA from 1 species
UACGUAGGGAGCAAGCGUUGUUCGGAUUUACUGGGCGUAAAGGGCGCGUAGGCGGCAUAUUAAGUCAUCUGUGAAAUCUCCGAGCUUAACUCGGAACUGUCAGCUGAUACUGAUGUGCUAGAGUGCGGAAGGGGCAAUCGGAAUUCUUGGUGUAGCGGUGAAAUGCGUAGAUAUCAAGAGGAACACCUGAGGUGAAGACGGGUUGCUGGGCCGACACUGACGCUGAGUGCGCGAAAGCGUGGGGAGCAGACAGG